rnacentral:rRNA from 1 species
GAUGAACGCUGGCGGCGUGCCUAAUACAUGCAAGUCGAGCGAACAGAUGAGGAGCUUGCUCCUCUGACGUUAGCGGCGGACGGGUGAGUAACACGUGGAUAACCUACCUAUAAGACUGGGAUAACUUCGGGAAACCGGUGCUAAUACUGGAUAAUAUAUUGAACCGCAUGGUUCAAUAGUGAAAGACGGUUUUGCUGUCACUUAUAGAUGGAUCCGCGCCGCAUUAGCUAGUUGGUAAGGUAACGGCUUACCAAGGCAACGAUGCGUAGCCGACCUGAGAGGGUGAUCGGCCACACUGGAACUGAGACACGGUCCAGACUCCUACGGGAGGCAGCAGUAGGGAAUCUUCCGCAAUGGGCGAAAGCCUGACGGAGCAACGCCGCGUGAGUGAUGAAGGUCUUCGGAUCGUAAAACUCUGUUAUUAGGGAAGAACAAAUGUGUAAGUAACUAUGCACGUCUUGACGGUACCUAAUCAGAAAGCCACGGCUAACUACGUG